ACAGGCAAAAGCAGUACCGUUGUUCCUCCAAUAGUUUAAGAUGCUGCUUCCCAAAUGUUUUCUGACAAGUAGUAAAUCAAGCUUUGGCUAUGUUAGUUACUUUGCUUUCUAAAUUUUCCACACCAAUGUAUUUGUCUGACAUCUGACACGACACCGACACUUAUAAAUUAUAAUUACAUUGAAUUAUGUGUCCGUGGUUCAUAGAUUAUCUCAUCCUAUUACUUUUACAUUCUUCAUAUGAAAAUGAGUGAAUAAUAAUAAAUAGUUAUCAUCAAAAUCAACAACUCGAAACACAAAUUUUGCAGCAUAAUCAACUACUACAAUAUAAAAUCCAAAAGAAAAAAUUGGAGCCAUCAAACUCACCGUUGCAAAGUGAGUCAUGUCACUGUAAAUGCCUAUCACUGACAUAGAGCCGCGGCCAAAAUGGGGACCUUAAAUUUAAGAAACACCAAAAUGCUCCGAAUUUUCAGUCAAACUGCUCCCUCCUCAAGUUGCUCAGUCAAAAUGCCAUAACUUUCAGUUAAGAAAUUACACGCAACCCUAAAACCCUAAUUCUCAGACUCUGUUUGCGUACUCUGCUUCCUCUUCCUCUCCUCUCCUCUCCUCACUUUGACUCCCGAUGUUUCUCCUGCCUCAAUUGCGAUUGUGCAGUUCAUCAUCCUCUUUGCCUCUGUUAGGUUCGUCAAUGACAAUGUGUGGUUCAUCAUCCUCUACCUCUGCUCCGUUCAGUUCGUCAUUUUCUCAAAUUCUGGCUCUGCGCAACGCAGAGAUGAACAACGAACACGCGAAUCAUUGGCGCGUUUAACGGUGUCGAAAAAGGUAUUAGAAAAAG
rnacentral:lncRNA from 1 species